AACUCUUCAUUAUUAUGCAGAUAAUUUUGUGAUUAAUGGAUUAGCGACAUCGGUGAAGCGUUAACGUUCGGGGAGCCAUAAUCGAUAAUAAGUAUAUUGCAGGCCCUUUUUCUUAAUAAUUUAAAUUGAUUUGCGUAUUUGGAGUUGGAAGAAAUGUGGCUGGAAACACAUAUCUUCAGAGAUGAUUAGGAAGGAAUGAUCCUGUAAGAUGGCCUAGAUCUCCAGUCCUAACACAUCCAGAUUUUUAUUUCCGAUGACUCGGCGGGCAGCUUCCGGGAAACCAAAGCUUUUGGGUUCCGGGGGAAGUAUGGUUGCAAAGCUGAAACUUAAAGGAAUUGACGGAAGGGCACCACCAGGAGUGGAGCCUGCGGCUUAAUUUGACUCAAC
rnacentral:ncRNA from 1 species